rnacentral:rRNA from 1 species
AACGUAGGUGGCGAGCGUUAUCCGGAUUUACUGGGCGUAAAGGGCGCGUAGGCGGCUGUGUAAGUCAGAUGUGAAAGCCCCAGGCUUAACCUGGGAACUGCAUUUGAUACUGCAUGGCUAGAGAUCGAGAGAGGAAAGUGGAAUUACGAGUGUAGAAGUGAAAUUCGUAGAUAUUCGUAGGAACACCGGUGGCGAAGGCGGCUACCUGGACAGAAACUGACGCUGAGGCGCGAAAGCUAGGGGAGCAAACAGG